GAUGAACGCUAGCUACAGGCUUAACACAUGCAAGUCGAGGGGCAGCAUCGCGAUAGCUUGCUAUUGCGGAUGGCGACCGGCGCACGGGUGAGUAACGCGUAUCCAACCUUCCCGCAACUGGGGAAUAACCUUGCGAAAGUAAGACUAAUACCCCAUGGUCUCCACGGAUGGCAUCUGAAAUGGAGUAAAGGUUUCGGCCGGUUGCGGAUGGGGAUGCGUCCGAUUAGCUUGACGGCGGGGUAACGGCCCACCGUGGCAUCGAUCGGUAGGGGUUCUGAGAGGAAGGUCCCCCCACAUUGGAACUGAGACACGGGUCCAAAACUCCUACGGGAGGCAGCAGUGAGGAAUAUUGGUCAAUGGGCGGAAGCCUGAACCAGCCAAGUAGCGUGAAGGACGACUGCCCUAUGGGUUGUAAACUUCUUUUAUGCGGGGAUAAAGUUCGCCACGUGUGGCGUUUUGCAGGUACCGCAUGAAUAAGGACCGGCUAAUUCCGUG
rnacentral:rRNA from 1 species